rnacentral:rRNA from 1 species
AUUGAACGCUGGCGGCAUGCCUUACACAUGCAAGUCGAACGGCAGCACGGGAGCAAUCCUGGUGGCGAGUGGCGAACGGGUGAGUAAUAUAUCGGAACGGUGCCCAGUCGUGGGGGAUAACGUAGCGAAAGCUACGCUAAUACCGCAUACGAUCUAUGGAUGAAAGCGGGGGGAUCGCAAGACCUCGCGCGAUUGGAGCGGCCGAUAUCAGAUUAGGUAGUUGGUGGGGUAAAGGCUCACCAAGCCAACGAUCUGUAGCUGGUCUGAGAGGACGACCAGCACACUGGGACUGAGACAGGCCCAGACUCCUACGGGAGGCAGCAGUGGGAAUUUUGGACAAUGGCGCAAGCCUGAUCCAGCAAUGCCGCGUGC